UACAGAGGGGGCAAGCGUUGUUCGGAAUUACUGGGCGUAAAGGGCGCGUAGGCGGCCUGUUAAGUCGAACGUGAAAUCCCCGGGCUCAACCCGGGAACUGCGUCCGAAACUGGCAGGCUCGAAUUCGGGAGAGGGAUGCGGAAUUCCAGGUGUAGCGGUGAAAUGCGUAGAUAUCUGGAGGAACAUCGGUGGCGAAGGCGGCUACCUGGACCAGCACUGACACUGAGGCACGAAAGCGUGGGGAGCAAACAGG
rnacentral:rRNA from 1 species